rnacentral:rRNA from 1 species
UACGAAGGGGGGCUAGCGUUGCUCGGAAUCACUGGGCGUAAAGGGUGCGUAGGCGGGUCCUUAAGUCAGGGGUGAAAUCCCGGGGCUCAACCUCGGAACUGCCUUUGAUACUGCAAAUCUCGAGUCCGAUAGAGGUGGGUGGAAUUCCUAGUGUAGAGGUGAAAUUCGUAGAUAUUAGGAAGAACACCGGUGGCGAAGGCGGCCCACUGGAUCGGUACUGACGCUGAGGUGCGAAAGCGUGGGGAGCAAACAGG